UACCAUAAUUUUGUGUGUUAGAGCUAGUUUUUUCGCGAAACUGUAAUACGGAACCAUAAAUCCCUACAUGACCUGUUCUAGGUGUUAAUGACCCAGUUUUGUUUAAACACUUUUAAAUAAAUGUAUAAAGCAACAAUGACAACAUUGUUUUAACACCGGGGCGCUGCAGAUGAUGAGUCUGAGAGGGUUGAGAGUGUAAAUAUAUCAAGUCCAGUCGUCAGCGACUAUUUGAAUGUGAGAAAACCAUUGGUUUCAUGCCUAUCCUCCUCUUCAUUCCAUUUGUCUUCAACUGGCGUGUCUCACAAGAAUCUAAAAACAUUUUUACUUGAACUUGGAUACUGUUUUGUAGCAACCGUGUAAUUCUUGCAUCGUGCGUUGCCUGGAUCUCAACAGCGAUCCAUUUGAAAAGUAAAAAUAAUAUAAGGUAAAAGUAAUUUCAUCUCAUUUUCCCUACAAUGUACAUCUGCGUGCAGCGUGCAUGCGGAAGAAGCAACAAUACAUAAAUAAAACAUCUAAAAAAAUUGUCGUGCAAAUAUUGCAGCUUAAUAUAACAUUCUGUCGAUUCCCCGAUUUUGCGAAACUUGCAAUAAAGGUCUAUGCAUUUGCAUAUUUUGAUUUGCCAUAUCUGCGAAACGGACGCAAGUUCCGCAAAAAAUUGGUUCUGCAAAUCAGAGAAACGCAUUGCUUGCCUUGCUAAUGUUCCGCAGAAGCGAUUUUUUUCAAUCUGUACAACCCAAGUACUUUUGAAAAAUUCGACGAAGGAAAAUUGUAAUUUUAUCUUAAUCGUAAUAAUAACACAAUAAUAUUCCAAUAAUAUUGUGUUAUACAGUUGCAAUUCAAUCGUGGGAGUAAUUACAGGAACGUUCCAAGUCUAUUCACAUUUUUGGACGAUAACUGCAUUUAAAGUGCGUACAAAAGCAAUUAAAUAGAAUUGUGCCAGAUGAUUGAUAUACGUGUUGCCCUGCUAGCCGAGAGUUUUCAAGCGAGUGUAAAAAUUUAGGUAUUAGUUAAUAUUUAUUUCCAUUUUACUUCAAAGUUUGGCAAAGGAAAAUUGCAAAGGAGUUGCGACGAUUGUGCGAUAUUCUUGCAAUCUCGAUGCAACCUUUUGUUGCAAAAUUCAACUUGAGAAUUGCAAGAAUACCACCGCGUGCUGUUUAGUAAGUUUUUUCUUUCCGCGUUGCAAAUAUUUUACGUACAAAAAAUAUUUUCCUCCUCCUCUUCGACCAAUAGUAAUUAUUCCAGUCGUCAUCUUAUCUUUUCUAGUUGAAGCAGUUCAGUUUUAUACCACCACUAAUAGUUGCAGUCACUGACGGACGAAAUUUUGUCUUGCAUCUUCAUGCCGUCGAAAGCCUUGUACUUUGUAUAAGGACGUCUGUCGAACAGGAGAAGUCUUAUAGGAGAUGUGCAAUUGGCAUCAUCAUAGACGCGAAUGCACUCAGCGUCUGCUUGUACGGACGAAGCCUGAUUGUCUAACUCCGGGCACAUUGGUUGGCAGCCCUUCAACGGUAUGGUGCAUCUCUUCCCUGAAAACUCCCUUCUCUCGAAAAAUGUAACGGAAUUAUUGGUAUUGCAGUCUCUGAAGGAGGAGAUCGUGUCUUGAAGAUGCGUUCUAUGAAAUCCAUGUGUAAUAUGCCAGUAGGUUUAACAUAACCCAAAUAUACACCGCAGUUAGGCUCUCUGUACAUCUUUAAGCAGACGAAGUUUCCAUUCACGGACGAGGCUUGGUUAUCCAACUCCGGGCACAUCUGUGUGCAACCUCUCACCGGCAGAGUGCACCUUUUCCCAUGAUACCUCAAGUCAUGGUAAAAUGUGGCCGUAUUGUUGUCACAGUCCGCGAUGGAAGAGAUACUAUCUUGAUAAGUAUAGUCGGCGAAAUUGUCGUUGGCGUUUUUCCAAAGAUUUAGCGAGCCCAUGUAACCUUGGCAGUUGGGCUCGUUGAACAGUUUGACGCAGGUAGCGGUUCCCUCCGCGGACGAAGCUCGGUUGUCCAGUUCGGGACACAUCGGUCUGCAGCCACUCACCGGUAUGUUGCAGAACUUCCCUCCGAAAUUCUUAUGCUCGUAGAAUGUCAUGGUAUUCGCCGGCUGUAAAACGAAAAUGGGCAUUAGUUGUAUACCGUGCAGUAGUUCCCGGUCAAUGUUUCGCAACAGGCCCUGCAUUUUUGGUUUAACUCUUUUACGGCUCCCAAAAUGUAGACAUCAAAUGGGCCAA
rnacentral:lncRNA from 1 species